GAUGAACGCUGGCGGCGUGCUUAACACAUGCAAGUCGAACGGAAAGGCCCAAGCUUGCUUGGGUACUCGAGUGGCGAACGGGUGAGUAACACGUGGGUGAUCUGCCCUGCACUUCGGGAUAAGCCUGGGAAACUGGGUCUAAUACCGGAUAGGACCACUUCUUGGAUGUUGUGGUGGAAAGUUUUUCGGUGUGGGAUGAGCUCGCGGCCUAUCAGCUUGUUGGUGGGGUAAUGGCCUACCAAGGCGUCGACGGGUAGCCGGCCUGAGAGGGUGUACGGCCACAUUGGGACUGAGAUACGGCGCAGACGCCUACGGGAGGCAGCAGUGGGGAAUAGUGCACAAUGGGCGCAAGCCUGAUGCAGCGACGCCGCGUGGGGGAUGACGGCCUUCGGGUUGUAAACUCCUUUCGCUAGGGACGAAGCUUAUUUUGUGACGGUACCUGGAGAAGAAGCACCGGCUAACUACGUG
rnacentral:rRNA from 1 species